rnacentral:rRNA from 1 species
CCCUUAGAUGUCCUGGGCCGCACGCGCGUUACACUGAUGCAUUCAACGAGUUUCACCUUGGCCGAGAGGCCUGGGCAAUCUUUUAAACCUGCAUCGUGAUAGGGAUAGAUUAUUGCAAUUGUUAAUCUUGAACGAGGAAUUCCUAGUAAACGCAAAUCAUCAAUUUGCAUUGAUUACGUCCCUGCCCUUUGUACACACCGCCCGUCGCACCUACCGAUUGAAUGGUCCGGUGAAGCCUCGGGAUUGUGGCCAGUUCACUUUAUUGGGAGUUGGCUGUGAGAACUUGUCUAAACCUUAUCAUUUAGAGGAAGGUGAAGUCGUAACA